rnacentral:lncRNA from 1 species
GGCUGAAGCAACUGAGCAUGCACAGGGUACCAAAAUCAGGAAGGAUGGAAACAAGAUUUAAAAGUAGGGCACCUUACUAUAAAAUUUGAGCUUUUCCUACUCACUCUUACUUUCCAAAUAGAAGCUUUAGAGCAUAGACAACACUUUUGGGGGGGGUGUAUGAAAACAAACAUCCCUUUCUAAUUGGGAAAGUACUUUUUAAAAAGGUUAAUGUUAAUGGUGAUCUUUUUCACUUUGAUUAUUAGUUAUAGAUGAGGAAAGGAUUCUGGUGACUUCUAUAUCAGUCUUCUGGGAAAGAGACUCUUAUAAAUUUAAAGAGAGAAGGUAGGAGAAAAAGGGAUCCUCAGGCAAUGCAGAUCAAUAUCCUUAAACACUCAUGCUACCAUUGAUACUGAUUGUUUUGACUCGCCUUAUCAUUUCUAAGCUUCUAGAGACAUCUAUGUACACAAAACUUCCUUCAAAGAAAAAUAUAAAUAACAGCAACAAAACUCCAAAUCAGCCAUUCUUUUUAACAUUAUGAUUAAGCAGUAGAUUAAUCUGACUUAUGUGCCCUGCUUGCAAGACAAUUUGAAUAUUGGAAAAGAUAUUAAUAGAUACUUGAAUGAAAUAAUAUCCUAUUCAAUAAAAAUGUUCUAAUUAUGAACAGCUCUCGUUAUCAGAAUUGUGUUUAUGGGUCAUUUGCAUCUCUAAAUAUGAAAGCCAACAAAUCAAUUAUUUUUGUCCUUUCUUCCCAUUUCCAAAUCGAUUUACCACUCUG